rnacentral:rRNA from 1 species
GACGGAGGGUGCUAGCGUUGUUCGGAAUGACUGGGCGUAAAGGGCGCGUAGGCGGCCAUGCGUGUCUUCCGUGAAAUCCCUCGGCUUAACUGAGGACGUGCGGAAGAAACUGCAAGGCUCGAGUCCGGGAGAGGGGGGUGGAAUUCCCAGUGUAGCGGUGAAAUGCGUAGAUAUUGGGAGGAACACCGGUGGCGAAGGCGGCCCCCUGGACCGGUACUGACGCUGAGGCGCGAAAGCGUGGGUAGCAAACGGG